rnacentral:lncRNA from 1 species
GCUUCUGUGGCGGAGGGUGAAUGAGGAGCUAUAGUAGACUCCCUAAAAGCCGGUAUAGGUAAAACCUCAGAUAUAUCAAGAUGGUCAGAAUGGUCAGAAGAGGUAAAGAAAAGGAGCUAUAGUAGACUCCCUAAAGGCCGGUAUAGGUAAAACCUCAGAUAUAUCAAGAUGGUCAGAAUUGUCAGAAGAGGUAAAUAAAGGUUUAGACUCAAAAAUUGUGACAUCAGCUGACAUAAGGUACCUACGAAGAUCAGGUGAAUAACAACGAUAGCCCUUCUGGACACGAGAAUAACCAAGGAAGACAUACUUGAGAGCACGAGAAGCUAACUUAUCUUUCCCAGGGGCAAAGUUAUGAACGAAACAAAUGCUCCAAAAAACACGAGGGGGAACAGAGUAUAAGGGUGACUGAGAAACAAUACCUCAUACGGAAUCUAAUUCUGGAUGCGAGAUGAAAGCAUCCGAUUCACCAAAUAACAAGAUGUGAGAACUGCAUCGC